rnacentral:rRNA from 1 species
GACGAAGGGGGCUAGCGUUGUUCGGAAUUACUGGGCGUAAAGCGAGUGUAGGCGGUUGUUCAAGUCAGGUGUGAAAGCCUUGAGCUCAACUCAAGAAAUGCACUUGAUACUGGAUGACUAGAGGACCGGAGAGGAUAGUGGAAUUCCCAGUGUAGUGGUGAAAUGCGUAGAUAUUGGGAGGAACACCAGUGGCGAAGGCGGCUCACUGGACCGGUACUGACGCUGAGGCGCGAAAGCGUGGGGAGCAAACAGG